AGAAUCAACGCUGGCGGCGUGCCUAACACAUGCAAGUCGAACGAGAAAGUGGAGCAAUCCACGAGUAAAGUGGCGCACGGGUGAGUAACACGUGACUAACCUACCCUUGAGUGGGGGAUAACCUAGGGAAACCUGGGCUAAUACCGCAUAAUACCUUCGGGUCAAAGGAGCAAUUCGCUUUAGGAGGGGGUCGCGGCCGAUUAGUUAGUUGGCGGGGUAAUGGCCCACCAAGACUGUGAUCGGUAUCC
rnacentral:rRNA from 1 species